CAAGCGUUAUCCGGAUUCACUGGGUUUAAAGGGUGCGUAGGCGGGCAGGUAAGUCCGUGGUGAAAUCUCUGAGCUUAACUCAGAAACUGCCAUGGAUACUAUUUGUCUUGAAUAUUGUGGAGGUAAGCGGAAUAUGUCAUGUAGCGGUGAAAUGCUUAGAUAUGACAUAGAACACCAAUUGCGAAGGCAGCUUACUACACAGUUAUUGACGCUGAGGCACGAAAGCGUGGGGAUCAAACAGGAUUAGAUACCCUGGUAGUCCACGCCCUAAACGAUGAUUACUCGACAUCAGCGAUACACUGUUGGUGUCUGAGCGAAAGCAUUAAGUAAUCCACCUGGGAAGUACGAUCGCAAGAUUG
rnacentral:rRNA from 1 species